rnacentral:rRNA from 1 species
GUCUACGGCCAAGCCACCCUGAACAAGCCCGAUCCUGUCUGAUCUUGGAAGCUAAGCAGGGUCGGGCCUGGUUAGUACUUAAACGGGAGACCACCUAGGAAGACCAGGUGCUGUAUGCA